rnacentral:miRNA from 1 species
UGAUGAUGAUGAUGAGGAUUCUGGUGGUGGUGGUGGUGGUGGUGAUAAUGCAAUCAUUACCACCUUCUUCACCAUCGUCAUCAUCAUCAUCAUCA